rnacentral:rRNA from 1 species
AUUGAACGCUGGCGGCAGGCUUAACACAUGCAAGUCGAGCGGGGUGAUGGUGCUUGCACUAUCACUUAGCGGCGGACGGGUGAGUAAUGCUUAGGAAUCUGCCUAUUAGUGGGGGACAACAUCUCGAAAGGGAUGCUAAUACCGCAUCCGUCCUACAGGAGAAAGCAUGGGAUCACUUGUGACCUUGCGCUAAUAGAUGAGCCUAAGUCGGAUUAGCUAGUUGGUGGGGUAAAGGCCUACCAAGGCGACGAUCUGUAGCGGGUCUGAGAGGAUGAUCCGCCACACUGGGACUGAGACACGGCCAGACUCCUACGGGAGGCAGCAGUGGGGAAUAUUGGACAAUGGGGGGAACCCUGAUCCAGCCAUGCCGCGUGUGUGAAGAAGGCCUUAUGGUUGUAAAGCACUUUAAGCGAGGAGGAGGCUCUUUUGGUUAAUACCCAAGAUGAGUGGACGUUACUCGCAGAAUAAGCACCGGCUAACUCUGUGCCAGCCGCCGCAGUAA